rnacentral:rRNA from 1 species
CAGCAGCCGCGGUAAUACGUAGGUGGCAAGCGUUGUCCGGAAUUAUUGGGCGUAAAGGGCUCGCAGGCGGUUUCUUAAGUCUGAUGUGAAAGCUCCCGGCUCAACCGGGGAGGGUCAUUGGAAACUGGGAAACUUGAGUGCAGAAGAGGAGAGUGGAAUUCCACGUGUAGCGGUGAAAUGCGUAGAGAUGUGGAGGAACACCAGUGGCGAAGGCGACUCUCUGGUCUGUAACUGACGCUGAGGAGCGAAAGCGUGGGGAGCGAACAGGAUUAGAUACCCGCGUAGUCCCUGUCUCUUAUAC